rnacentral:lncRNA from 1 species
CAGAGUAUGGAUCCUCUAAGAUGCUAGCAGUUGGCGUUGGCAUUGGAGUGGUACUGGUGGCUGUCUUCAUUUUGAUCACAAUGCUGGUCCUGCUGUUUUACUCCAAAAAGUUUAAGGGUUUACAUGAACAUACAGCAAUUUUUGGCCAUGAAGAGCAGAGCACCAAUCAGGGUUUAAACCAGCACCUAAACCAGAAUCGGCAGGGAUUUACUCAGAGUGCCACCGCAGACGUGUACGCCACAGUCAACAGGCAAAACCGAGACGAGGAUGAGGCUACUGCCAGAUCUACAGCAGGAUCUGCAGAUGAUUUGACAUAUGCUCAAAUCGAACUGAAACACAUACGAAACAAGCAGAGGUUCAAGAACGACAAUGCUGGCAAUGUGACCUAUGCUGAGGUCAAUGUUCAAGCAAAGCAGCUAAUCACCACCGGUGGGUCUCUCUUUAUUCAGCAUUGCUCACACUAUGGCGUCUCAUGGCUUUGUAAUAUUAUAUUGUAUAUUCUCUCUGUUUGUGAGAUGAAUCUCAGCUAUCACCAUUUCAACGAAAUAUUUUUGAACAGAUCUCUGAAGCUGGACCAUGUUUUCAUUCAGUGGCUAUAUAAAGGUGGAAACGCAAAAAGUCAAGUCAAGAAUCAAGAAUGUCAAGUCAAGAAUGCCAAUGUUAAUUUAAAAGUUUAAAGAAUUGUAAUGUACAGAAACAUACUGUUAAGAACAUACAUUUUACACUAUGAGGAAUCAGAAAGUAUUCAAAACACACACACACACAUACACAUACACUAACAUCUGCAACAUUUGAGGCCAAAUGUUUGUAAAUACGUAUGUCACUGUGGGAACACCGCUUACCAAAUGAGAAAAGAUGAACUUAUGAUGAACUCUGAAUAUCCACGUCUCUUCAUCUCAUUUCUAUGAAGUUUCAUUUUUAUGAAGU